rnacentral:rRNA from 1 species
GGAAUAACUGGCCGAAAGGCCGGCUAAUACCGCAUACGAUGGCCCGCCGCAGGGAGGGUCAUGAAAGGCGAAAGUCGCUUCCGGAGGGGCUUGCGGCCGAUUAGCUUGUUGGUGGGGUAACGGCCUACCAAGGCAACGAUCGGUAGCUGGUCUGAGAGGACGGUCAGCCACACGGGGACUGAGAUACGGCCCCGACUCCUACGGGAGGCAGCAGCUAGGAAUCUUGGGAAUGCGCGAAAGCGUGACCCAGCAACGCCGCGUGGGCGAUGAAGGCCUUCGGGUCGUAAAGCCCUUUUGCAGGGGAAGAUUGUGACGGUACCUUGCGAAUAAGCCACGGCUAACUACGUGCCAGCAGCCGCGGUAAUACGUAGGUGGCAAGCGUUGUCCGGAUUUACUGGGCGUAAAGGGCGUGCAGGCGGUCUGUUAAGUUCAGGGUGAAAGCUCCCGGCUCAACUGGGAGAGGUCCUUGGAUACUGGCAGACUCGAGGGAGGUAGAGGAGAGUGGAAUUCCCGGUGUAGUGGUGAUAUGCGUAGAUAUCGGGAGGAACACCAGUGGCGAAGGCGGCUCUCUGGGCCUUUCCUGACGCUGAGACGCGAAAGCGUGGGGAGCGAACCGGAUUAGAUACCCGGGUAGUCCACGCCGUAAACUAUGAACACUAGGUGUGGGGGGUAUCGACCCCCUCCGUGCCGAAGCUAACGCAAUAAGUGUUCCGCCUGGGGAGUACGGCCGCAAGGCUAAAAC